AUCACAUUGCCUCAAUUUAUUUUAAUAAAUAAAUACGACUCUAUUAUUUCGGAGCUCUGGCGGCCUCUUAUGAGUUUAUCGUCGCACAUAGUAUUUGCUCACCGCCUCCGCGCAUACGCUGGUAGCAUAGUAUAUUACAAUUCAAGUCUAAUUAAUCAACUAGUUCAUAAACUACGGAAAUUGACUUUUUCAAACAUAUCCAAUAAUUUUAUAUUAUAGCUAAGACUAUGAUUUUUGUCAUAUACUUUAUUAAACUUAGGUAGGUAAAGUAAAAAAAAAUAAGUGGAAACAUUCCGAAGAAAAUAUUGAAUGCCAGUUCCGAUAAGUAAGCUGUAAGUAAACUGAUUGAAAAGUAUACUGAUGAAAUAGAAUCAGAAAGAAAUUAUGAAAUUAUAGGAGGUAACGAGUUCGACAUAAGAGAGUAUCCUUAUCAAGUGAGCGUUUUAUGUCAGAUCAAUGAAACGUAUUACAAUCACUUUUGUGGAGGGUCUAUUCUUAAUGAAGACUACGUGCUUACUGCUGCUCAUUGUGUGAGGCAUGAUGAAGAUAUUCAUAAGUUUCGCCUUCAAGUUGGCAGUUCCUUUUCGAAUCAUGGUGGAAGACUGUAUCAUCGAAAAAGUCACCAUUCAUCCAAAUUUUUGUAUUGAAACAAGUGAUAACGAUAUAGCAGUGGUGAAAUUGUCAAAGAUAAAACUAAAUGGAGUAACAAUCAAAGCUGUGCGUUUGGCAGAUCCAGAUAGUCACUUGAACACAGGGGAUAAUUAUUAUAGUUACCGGAUGGGGCAUAACAGAGGUAAGAGGAGGUAGUUCGCAAUACCUAUAGUCACAGAAUAAAGAUUCAUUUCCAAAUCUCUGCUUCUUUUUUAGAGAAAGAUUAAAGAGAAGCAGAUUGACACGUCAGAGAGAACAUGUUUUUAUUUCUAACGGGGUUCACAA